rnacentral:rRNA from 1 species
GAUGAACGCUGGCGGCGUGCCUAAUACAUGCAAGUCGAGCGAACGGACGAGAAGCUUGCUUCUCUGAUGUUAGCGGCGGACGGGUGAGUAACACGUGGAUAACCUACCUAUAAGACUGGGAUAACUUCGGGAAACCGUAGCUAAUACCGGAUAAUAUUUUGAACCGCAUGGUUCAAAAGUGAAAGACGGUCUUGCUGUCACUUAUAGAUGGAUCCGCGCUGCAUUAGCUAGUUGGUAAGGUAACGGCUUACCAAGGCAACGAUGCAUAGCCGACCUGAGAGGGUGAUCGGCCACACUGGAACUGAGACACGGUCCAGACUCCUACGGGAGGCAGCAGUAGGGAAUCUUCCGCAAUGGGCGAAAGCCUGACGGAGCAACGCCGCGUGAGUGAUGAAGGUCUUCGGAUCGUAAAACUCUGUUAUUAGGGAGGGACAUAUGUGUAAGUAACUGUGCACAUCUUGACGGUACCUAAUCAGAAAGCCACGGCUAACUACGUG